UACGGGGGGAGCAAGCGUUGUUCGGAUUUACUGGGCGUAACGGGCGCGUAGGCGGUCAGCACAAGUCAGUUGUGAAAUCUCCGGGCUUAACUCGGAAAGGUCAACUGAUACUGUGCGACUAGAGUGCAGAAGGGGCAACUGGAAUUCCCGGUGUAGAGGUGAAAUUCGUAGAUAUCGGGAGGAACACCGGUGGCGAAGGCGGCGAUCUGGGUAGAUACUGACGCUGAGGUGCGAAAGCGUGGGGAGCAAACAGG
rnacentral:rRNA from 1 species